AGUUAGCUGCGUAGGCAGCGGCUUGAUAAGGGGAAAAUGAACUGAAUCAUUAAGCUUUCUUUAUCGUCUCUUCUUUACAGACCACAAAACUGAGUGGAGAAAAUUCCACCAAAAACUUUAAUAUGGAAAAAAGAGGAAAGAAAUGAAAACAUCAGGAUCCCCCCACAAAGCUCUGCAAAGUGAAUGUGCGGUUGCAUGAGGCAAGCUGGUUCAUGGAACCACCCCGAAGAGGUGUUCUGGAAAUCGGUUGAUUAUCUCCAAAUGUUAUUUUUCAUUCUCGGAUUCAUCAAAAUCUUCGACUUAAGGUGCCUUGUGAAAAAUGAGCAGAUAAUGGACAGAUGAGGAAACUGAAGUGCAUGGAUGUUAAAUUGUCCAUUAACAUGGCGGAGUGUGACGGGCAGAAGCUUCCUCGUAGAAUGAGGCAGAACGUGCAGCUUUGCCCUCACAGCAGGAAUGGCAAGCCCAGAGUGGGUGUGAUGGGGAGCGUGUGUGUGGCAGAUGCUGUAGAAGUCAACCAGGUCUCAUCUGUGGAAAAGAAACACCUCAAAACCUCUUGUUUUUAGAGAGGGCUGGAGACUCUCAUUCCCUAGCUCCCCAGAGUCCUGAAGACGCUGGGUCCUUCUCUGGCUGUUGUCAUUAGUAGAUGGAAGCCGGAGAAUCUAAGACCACGUUUUCUCCUUGCGGUAGCUGGAACCUGGGUCCAUGUCUAUGAGAGAGAGCCUCCUGCAGGGCUGUGCCCUUUGCCUUUCCGUUGGACAAUCGUCCCAGUUUCAGACUCUGACCACAUGUCCUCUGUUCUGCAGGCAUGGAGACCAAAGCUCUUCCUGUCGUCGUUGGCACACCAUUUCAGCGUAUGGAGAGAGCCUUUCAGGAGGUUUACUUUCUCUUCUGGCUUUGACAUUUCCUUUCCUGCUGUAAAACCUAGAGUAUAUUACACCAUCUGACAGUCUCUGCUUUAGUAUAUGUUCAAUGGGAAUGGUGGACCCAUGUGGCCGCUGGGAUCAGCUAAGAUGAAAUGUAUGAAACACAUUGCGUGGUACUUAGUUGGUGGCUGGUCCCCAAAUUUAUAAUAGACAAAUCUCCUAUAUUGCUUCUCUUGUAUAAAAGCAUAUGAGUGAGUCUGGAGGGAAGGAGAAAAAGAGAGAGAGGGAGGGAUGGAGGGAAGGAGAGAGGAAGGGAGAGAGAGAGAGAUGGAUUCCAAUCUAGGCUCUUGACUUUCAUGUCCUUUGACUGAAACCUCAGAGACAUAUUUUACUUCACUGCUUGACACAUAUGCAGACGCUUACAAUUCAAAUAUAGAUUUUUGUGAACAAAUAUAGGCUUUAACUACAUGCAAUGUGCUGUACUCUUUACCACUCUAUCUAGUUCCUCCCGUUCCCUAUGGAGUGGAGAAACCAAACCCCAUAUCCCCAGAGGCUUCUUCUUCCCACCCUCAACUUAGUAGAGAGCUGGCACAGGAAGUCUAAGCCAUCCCAUGGAAGAACAGACUCUCUCUGUCAUUUCCUCAAGCAGGCACUCCCUGUACCCCUGUGUUGUAGAGACCCACGGGCCUGAGUCUUUUGCUGUGGAUGCCCAGUCAAGUCAGCUCAGCGGGAUGCUCAGGAGGAAGCUCCUGUAUACACUGCUCCUGGUCUUCUUCUUUUUUUCUGAGACAGGGUUUCUCUGUGUGGAGCCUGUCCUGGAACUCACUCUGUA